rnacentral:rRNA from 1 species
GAUGAACGCUGGCUACAGGCUUAACACAUGCAAGUCGAGGGGAAACGACGGGGAAGCUUGCUUCCCCGGGCGUCGACCGGCGCACGGGUGAGUAACGCGUAUCCAACCUGCCUCUGACUGAGGGAUAACCCGUCGAAAGUCGGCCUAAUACCUCAUGGCAUCGUCUGCGGGCAUCCAACGACGAUUAAAGAUUUCAUCGGUCAGGGAUGGGGAUGCGUCUGAUUAGCUUGUUGGCGGGGUAACGGCCCACCAAGGCUACGAUCAGUAGGGGUUCUGAGAGGAAGGUCCCCUGCAUUGGAACUGAGACACGGUCCAAACUCCUACGGGAGGCAGCAGUGAGGAAUAGUGGUCAAUGGGCGGGAGCCUGAACCAGCCAAGUAGCGUGCAGGAUGACGGCCCUAUGGGUUGUAAACUGCUUUUAUGCGGGGAUAAAGUGAGGGACGUGUCCUUCAUUGCAGGUACCGAAUGAAUAAGGACCGGCUAAUUCCGUG